UGCAGUGUAUAUGCAUCAACAAGGAGGCACCUGAACAAUAUUUAUUCAAAGCAAGACGCGAAAGAAUCAUGUUGUAUGCUUCAGAUUUAUACUGAAAGUGUGUCCCUAUUUUGAUGCAAUUCUUCUUUUUUACAUACUAGGAAACGUUCUGUAGCAAAAAACACGCUCACUGAGCAUGUCGUUAUGGAUUACGUAAUGAAGCGUAGAAAAUGAAGAAGAUAAUCAAGUCGAGAGCGACCGGCGAUGAUGUGUAGUUGCUGGAUGAGCUUCUCAUCCACGCCUUGGCUGCAAACCGUGUCUGCAGGUGCAGCGAUGAAGAGGAUAAUCAAGCAGAAUACCGACAACGAGGACAUACAGUGGCUGUGUGUGCUUCUCAUCCACUCCCCCGCUGUAUCCCAUGUCUAGGGUGCAGGAUGUAUGUGGUGAUCAACAUAAUAUGGGAGACAUGGGAUCAUAUGAUUUCUUGAAGCGGACUAAGCUAAGAGAGGAUUACUGAUGCUUACAUUGUUCUCAGUCAGGACAAGCAAGCCCAGUGACUCCCACUACGACUCAUGGCGCUUCGACCUCCUUGCAACAAUGAUCACUCGAGGUUUGCAUCGUGGAUGCCGUUGACGGUAGGCAUACAUGCUACGGUGGAGCACAUUGCAUGUUUGAGGUUCAUGCUUGGUGUGAACUUGGAACUCAUGCUUUUGUUUGUGAACCUUGUUGGAUAUGUACCUGUGUGG